AUGCCCAGACUUAUACUGCUGGCAUCACUGGUAGUAGUUGUCGUUGUUGUGGGGGUAGCAGUUGCAGGGGCAGCAGUCGUUGGGGCAGCAGUCGUUGGAGCAGCAGUUGCAGGGGCAGCAGUUGUUGGAGCAGCCAUUGUUGUUGUUGUUGGGGCAGCAGUCGUUGUGGUUGUCGGGGCAGCAGUUGUUGUAGUUGUGGGGGCAACAGUUGUUGUAGUUGUCGGGGCAGCAGUUGUUGUUGGGGCAGCAGUUGUUGUAGUUGUUGGGGCAGCAGUUGUUGUGGUUGUUGGGGCAGCAGUCGUUGUGGAUGUCAAGGCCACAGUUUUUGUGGUUGUGGGGGCAGCAGUUGUUGUGGUUGUGGGGGCAGCAGUUGUUGUAGUUGUUAGGGCAGCAGUUGUUGUAGUUGUUGGGGCAGCAGUUGUUGUAGUUGUUGGGGCAGCCGUUGUUGUUGUUAUGGGGGCAGCAGUCGUUGUGGUUGUGGGGGCAGCAGUGGUUGUGGAUGUCGGGGCCGCAGUCGGUGUGGUUGUCGGGGCAGCAGUCGUUGUGGUUGUCGGGGCAGCGGUUGUUGUUGUUGUGGGGGCAGCAGUCGUUGUGGUUGUGGGGGCAGCAGUAGUUGUGGAUGUCGGGGCCGCAAUCGUUGUGGUUGUGGGGGCAGCAGUUGUUGUAGUUGUUAGGGCAGCAGUUGUUGUUGUUGUUGGGGCAGCAGUUGUUGUGGUUGUUGGGGCAGCAGUUGUUGUGGUUGUGGGGGCCGCAGUUGUUGUGGUUGUCAUUGCAGCAGUUGUUGUGGUUGUGGGGGCCGCAGUUGUUGUGGUUGUCAUUGCAGCAGUAGUUGUUGUUGUCAGGGCAGCAGUUGUUGUGGUUGUUGCGGCAGCAGUUGUUGUAGUUGUCGGGGCAGCAGUUGUUGUGGUUGUGGGGGCAGCAGUUGUUGUGGUUGUCGGGGCCGCAGUUGUUGUGGUUGUGGGGGCCGCAGUUGUUGUUGUGGGUACAGCAGUAGUUGUUGUUGUCGGGACAGCAGUUGUUGUGGUUGUUGUGGCAGCAGUUGUUGUGGUUGUGGGGGCAGCAGUACUUGUUGUUGUCGGGGCAGCAGUUGUUGUGGUUGUUGCGGCAGCAGAUGUUGUAGUUGUUAGGGCAGCAGUUGUUGUUGUUGUCAGUGCGGCAGUUGUUGUGGUUGUAGGGGCAGCAGUUGUUGUGGAUGUCGGGGCCGCAGUCGUUGUGGUUGUCAGAGCAGCAGUCGUUGUGGUUGUGGGGGCAGCAGUAGUUGUGGAUGUCGGGGCCGCAGUCGUUGUGAUUAUGGGGGCAGCAGUUGUUGUAGUUGUUAGGGCAGCAGUUGUUGUUGUUGUGGGGGCAGCAGUUGUUGUGGUUGUUGGGGCAGCAGUUGAUGUGGUUGUGGGGGCCGCAGUUGUUGUGGUUGUCAUUGCAGCAGUUGUUGUGGUUGUGGGGGCAGCAGUAGUUGUUGUUGUCGGGGCAGCAGUUGUUGUGGUUGUUGCGGCAGCAGUUGUUGUAGUUGUCGGGGCAGCAGUUGUUGUGGUUGUGGGGGGCAGCAGUUGUGGUUGUGGGUGCAGCAGUUGUUGUGGUUGUUGGGGCAGCAGUUGUUGUGGUUGUGGGGGCCGCAGUUGUUGUGGUUGUGGGGGCCGCAGUUGUUGUUGUGGGUGCAGCAGUAGUUGUUGUUGUCGGGGCAGCAGUUGUUGUGGUUGUUGCGGAAGCAGUUGUUGUAGUUGUUAG
rnacentral:lncRNA from 1 species